GUAGUCUCGCACAGAUGCAUAUCAAUAAGCGGAGGAAAAGAAACUAACAAGGAUUCCCCUAGUAACGGCGAGUGAAGCGGGAAGAGCUCAAAUUUGAAAUCUUAAAGGGUUUCCCUUUACGAAUUGUAGUUUAAAGAAGUGUUUUCUGUUGAGGUUUUGGUAAAAGUUCUUUGGAAUAGGACAUCAUAGAGGGUGAGAAUCCCGUAUUUGACCUUUACUUUCAACUUUGUGAUACACUUUCAAAGAGUCGGAUUGUUUGGGAAUGCAGUCCAAAAUGGGUGGUAAAUUUCAUCUAAAGCUAAAUAUUGGCGAGAGACCGAUAGCGAACAAGUACCGUGAGGGAAAGAUGAAAAGAACUUUGAAAAGAGAGUUAAACAGUACGUGAAAUUGUCAAAAGGGAAGCGUUUGACACCAGUGUUGUUUUUCUGAAAAUCAAUUAAAGAACUGUUUAUGCUAAGCUGUUUAGACUUUAUCAGCUAUCUGUUUAGUUUUGAGCUUUUCUUUAAUGCACUUUUCAGUUAACAAGUCAACAUCAAUUUCUUUUGCUGUAAAAAAGCUUGAGGAAGGUGGCUUGAGAUUCGUCUUAAGUGUGUAUAGCCUCUUGCCUAUGCAGUCGGAGAGAUUGAGGUCUGCAGCGUAGAUCCUUCGGGGCUAAAUGCAUUUGUGCUAAGUUAUAGCAUUUUAUAGACAACUUGUUGACUAUGAUUUGUCUUGUAGCUUACUCGCUUAUGUUAUUUUACCUACGCUUAGGAUGUUGACGCGCGUGUGUGCGUG
rnacentral:rRNA from 1 species